UAGAUCGAUGGUGAAAACUGGUGGCGUAGGAAUCCUCCGUGCUUGCGUGUUACACGCCUGUAACUCUGAGUCCAU
rfam:Mustela putorius furo unplaced genomic scaffold scaffold00047, whole genome shotgun sequence.